GGGGGUAUAGCUCAGUGGUAGAGCGCUACCUUAGCAUGGGAGAGGCCCGGGGUUCGAUUCCCCUACCUCCA
rnacentral:tRNA from 1 species